rnacentral:lncRNA from 1 species
UGUUGGCAUGACACGGGUUAUGUUCUUCUCAUAUGUGUUAUGAUGGUAUGAUACUAAACCCCUAACGGGAAGGAUUGUGCCUGAUGUACAUAUGAUGAAAUCAUAAUCGUUCAGUCAGUUUAAUUGAAGUCUGGAGCUGGCAUGUCAGUUAACUGCUAGUAGUCUGUUGUUAUUUAUGUAUUAUUGUCAUUUUGUUUAUUUUCUUUGGUUACAUCUUCUGACAUCAGACUCGGACUUCUCUUGAACUGAAUUUUAAUGUGCGUAUUGUUAUGCGUUUACUUUUCUACAUUGGAUAGAGGUAUAGGGGAGGGUUGAGAUCUCACAAACAUGUUUAACCCCGCCGCAUUUUUGCGCCUGUCCCAAGUCAGGAGCCUCUGGCCUUUGUUAGUCUUGUAUUAUUUUAAUUUUAGUUUCUUGUGUACAAUUUGGAAAUUAGUAUGGCGUUCAUUAUCACUGAACUAGUAUAUAUUUGUUUAGGGGCCAGCUGAAGGACGCCUCCGGGUGCGGGAAUUUCUCGCUAUAUUGAAGACCUGUUG